AAGAACGCUGGCGGCAGGCCUAAGACAUGCAAGUCGUACGCGAACGACCUUUCGGGGUUAAGUAGAGUGGCGAACGGGUUAGUAACGCGUGGGAACAUACACAGCACAGGGGGAUAACCAUUGGAAACGAUGGCUAAUACCGCAUACGCCCUAUUGGGGAAAGAUUUAUCGGUGUUGGAUUGGCCCGCGUUAGAUUAGCUAGUUGGUGGGGUAAUGGCUCACCAAGGCGACGAUUUAUAGCUGGUUUGAGAGGAUGAUCAGCAACACUGGAACUGAGACACGGUCCAGACUCCUACGGGAGGCAGCAGUCGGGAAUAUUGUGCAAUGGGGGCAACCCUGACACAGCCAUGCCGCGUGAGUGAAGAAGGCCUUAGGGUUGUAAAGCUCUUUCAGAUGUGAGGAUGAUGACGAUAGCAUCAGAAGAAGCUCCGGCUAACUUCGUGCCAGCAGCCGCGGUAAUACGAAGGGAGCUAGCGUNGUUCGGAAUUACUGGGCGUAAAGGGCGUGUA
rnacentral:rRNA from 1 species